rnacentral:rRNA from 1 species
UGUACCGAUAUUUAUCUUCUUCAAUACCGGUAAAUGGUGGGUGAGAUUCACUUAAUUGGGAGUCUUGCCAACUACACCUUUACCCUUUUACUGUGAAUAAAUUGGAGUGUUCAAAGCAGGCUUUUAUUAAUGCCAUUGUACACUACAGCAUGGUAUAAUAUAAUUCAGUGAAAGAAUGUAUUUGGUUUCUUUAUGCAUUCUUUCAUAAUUAUUAAUGGAAACAAACGAGGUGAUAUGUAUUGAUGAGCGAGAGGUGAAAUUCUAUGAACUCAUCAAGACAAACUAAGGCGAAAGCAAUUCACAAGGAUGUCUUCGUCGAUCAAGAACGAAAGUCAGGGGAUCGAAGAUGAUCAGAUACCGUCGUAGUCUUGACUGUAAACGAUGCCAACUAAGGAAUAGGAGAUGUUCCCUACCAUUUGGUGGGGAUUGGAACAGUAUUUUUUACCUCUUCUAUUACUUUACGGGAAACCAAAAGUUUUCGGGUUCUUGGGGUAGUAUGGUCGCAAGUCUGAAACUUAAAGGAAUUGACGGAAGGGCACCACCAGGAGUGGAGCCUGCGGCUUAAUUUGAC